rnacentral:rRNA from 1 species
AGUCGAGCGCACCUUCGGGUGAGCGGCGGACGGGUUAGUAACGCGUGGGAACAUACCCUUUGGUACGGAAUAGCCUCUGGAAACGGAGAGUAAUACCGUAUGAGCCCUUCGGGGGAAAGAUUUAUCGCCAAAGGAUUGGCCCGCGUUAGAUUAGGUAGUUGGUGGGGUAAUGGCCUACCAAGCCUACGAUCUAUAGCUGGUUUUAGAGGAUGAUCAGCAACACUGGGACUGAGACACGGCCCAGACUCCUACGGGAGGCAGCAGUGGGGAAUCUUGGACAAUGGGGGCAACCCUGAUCCAGCCAUGCCGCGUGAGUGAUGAAGGCCUUAGGGUCGUAAAGCUCUUUCGCCUGUGAAGAUAAUGACGGUAGCAGGUAAAGAAACCCCGGCUAACUCCGUGCCAGCAGCCGCGGUAAUACGGAGGGGGUUAGCGUUGUUCGGAAUUACUGGGCGUAAAGCGCACGUAGGCGGACUGGAAAGUUGGGGGUGAAAUCCCAGGGCUCAACCCUGGAACUGCCUCCAAAACUAUCAGUCUAGAGUUCGAGAGAGGUGAGUGGAAUUCCGAGUGUAGAGGUGAAAUUCGUAGAUAUUCGGAGGAACACCAGUGGCGAAGGCGGCUCACUGGCUCGAUACUGACGCUGAGGUGCGAAAGUGUGGGGAGCAAACAGGAUUAGAUACCCUGGUAGUCCACACCGUAAACGAUGAAUGCCAGUCGUCGGGUAGCAUGCUAUUCGGUGACACACCUAACGGAUUAAGCAUUCCGCCUGGGGAGUACGGUCGCAAGAUUAAAACUCAAAGGAAUUGACGGGG